GAUGAACGCUGGCGGCGUGCCUAAUACAUGCAAGUCGAGCGAACAGACGAGGAGCUUGCUCCUCUUACGUUAGCGGCGGACGGGUGAGUAACACGUGGAUAACCUACCUAUAAGACUGGGAUAACUUCGGGAAACCGGAGCUAUUACCGGAUAAUAUAUUGAACCGCAUGGUUCAAUAGUUAAAGACGGUUUUGCUGUCACUUAUAGAUGGAUCCGCGCCGCAUUAGCUAGUUGGUAAGGUAACGGCUUACCAAGGCAACGAUGCGUAGCCGACCUGAGAGGGUGAUCGGCCACACUGGAACUGAGAAACGGUCCAGACUCCUACGGGAGGCAGCAGUAGGGAAUCUUCCGCAAUGGGCGAAAGCCUGACGGAGCAACGCCGCGUGAGUGAUGAAGGUCUUCGGAUCGUAAAACUCUGUUAUUAGGGAAGAACAAAUGUGUAAGUAAAUAUGCACGUCUUGACGGUACCUAAUCAGAAAGCCACGGCUAACUACGUG
rnacentral:rRNA from 1 species